rnacentral:rRNA from 1 species
UACGUAGGGGGCAAGCGUUGUCCGGAAUUAUUGGGCGUAAAGCGCGCGUAGGCGGUCCAGUAAGUCGGAUGUGAAAGCCCGAGGCUCAACUUCGGAAUUGCAUUCGAUACUGUUGGACUUGAGGUAGGUAGGGGAAGGUGGAAUUCACAGUGUAGCGGUGGAAUGCGCAGAUAUUGUGAGGAACACCAGCGGCGAAGGCGGCCUUCUGGGCCUUACCUGACGCUGAGGCGCGAAAGCAUGGGUAGCGAACAGG